UCGCUCAAAAUCAUAUCCACGCUGCCGCCCCACGCUCGUUUCGUUCCCCACUCACAAAAUCCCUAGCUCAUUUCGUUCCCCACGCCCGUCGCCGCCCCUCUAGGGAGAGGCAACCUCGCUCCUCCCUCCCAUGGCGCCACCGCCCCAACCCAUAGUCAUCUCCCUCUCCUUUCCCACCCUCUCCACUACUUUCCAUGGUGCCAGAUCUGAAGGGGGCAAGGUCCUUGGUGCAGAGCGAGGUAGGCAGCAUUUGUUCCCUCCGCUUCCAGCGACAGGUGCCUCCAUCUCUGCCAACUAACCUUCGGUGACCAGCACGUAGGCAUCCAUCGCGGUAACAACAGAGGGCACUUGUACACAAGGAUUCCUACUUGUGGCUAGACACGACCUUUCGGCGAGUGGUGCAGUGAUUCCCUCCCUUUUUGCCACAACCUCCCCACCAAUUGGUUGGUCUAGUGAGAUAUCUACAUAUUGGGUAUCUUACUGAAGUUAGUUGUAUACCAAGUUCAUUUAUGUUUCUUGCCAGAUGGUGCUAUGUCUUGAAUUAAUUCUUUUUCUGUAGGCAGGUAAUGAUAGAGCCAAAGGUAAUCAUGGAAAGUUAAAGGCUUGUCCUCUCGCUGAUUAAUGUGCUAGCUGGCAUCCCUUGCGAGGAGAACCAAACGAUACGGUUUCGUCAAGUUCUCUUUCAAAAGAGAAGCAGCUUGACAAUAGACAAGAUGAGCGACUAGGUGAAAUAGCGGUUCACACUGGAUGAUCUCAUGCUGUUGUAAAUGAGUAAGGAAUGGCCUGAAGGGAGUUACCACCAUGGGCACAUAGACCAGGAUACCUUGUAUGUCAGGAUAUAGCAAAAGAAGGUAGGAAACUCAAAAGAUGGGAGCUAAAGCUACAUAAUUAGUAGAAAGAUGUUCAAGAUGUAGGAUGUUCUCCAAUUAACGAGAUAAGAUUGAAGGCUUUGAUGAUAAGUAAGAGAACGAUGAAACAAUCUUGGUGGAAGGCUGUGAGGAUGGAUUUGUAGUUGCCCACUAGAAGGAACCAAGGUAGAUGAUUUAUUGGAGAAAACAAAGCGUGGAAAUUUUACUCUCAGCCAAUGAACUAUAAUGUUUGCUCUAUUUAAUUAGUUACAUUAGUUUUUAGGAAACUUGGGUGGUCACUAGUUCAUAACAUAGGAACUAUUUGUAUGUGAAAACUAAUGAAUAUAUGAGACUAUUGUUUGGUUCUGGUUGACGAUGCACA